GGUAGAUAGGCUAGAAGUGGAAGAAUAGUGAUAUUUGUAGCGGACUAGUACUAAUAGCUCGAGGACUUUACCUAG
rnacentral:rRNA from 1 species